CCUACGGGAGGCUGCAGUGGGGAAUAUUGGACAAUGGGGGGAACCCUGAUCCAGCCAUGCCGCGUGUGUGAAGAAGGCCCUCGGGUUGUAAAGCACUUUCAGUGAGGAAGAACGCCUGGUGGUUAAUACCCAUCAGGAAAGACAUCACUCACAGAAGAAGCACCGGCUAACUCCGUGCCAGCAGCCGCGGUAAUACGGAGGGUGCGAGCGUUAAUCGGAAUUACUGGGCGUAAAGCGCGCGUAGGUGGCUUGAUAAGCCGGUUGUGAAAGCCCCGGGCUCAACCUGGGAACGGCAUCCGGACCUGUCAAGCUAGAGUGCAGGAGAGGAAGGUAGAAUUCCCGGUGUAGCGGUGAAAUGCGUAGAGAUCGGGAGGAAUACCAGUGGCGAAGGCGGCCUUCUGGACUGACACUGACACUGAGGUGCGAAAGCGUGGGUAGCAAACAGGAUUAGAUACCCCUGUAGUC
rnacentral:rRNA from 1 species